UCAUGCCUACUUUUAUUUUGUCCUAUACCUAAAGGAUGCGAAAAUCAAUUAGAAAUAUCUUGUGCAACUGUUUUGGUGGCGGAUUUCUCAAUCCGUCAAUCAGCAGCUGUCGACGACGUUGAUUUAUGACGAAUGCUCCACAUACUUCGAAAGCGAAAAUUACCUUGCGGUUUAUUGAAUACAAGUGUAUCAAAGCUACCUCCUAAGAGAAGAAUUUUACACGCUUAAAUGCUAUAUAAUUAACUAAUUCAGACUAAAACAAUCAUAUAUUCAGUGAAGCAAUUCAAGCUAUAUUAAGACUAGUUUGUUCUGCUACCUGAAGAGCCACACCAACAGCUACCUUGAUCUUCUCAUACUUGAUCUCCUGUAUUGUCAAGUUCAUAUUAAUUCUUUUUUGUCUGUAGAUUGGCAGCAAAAAUGGGAUAUGUUGCAGAAUUGAAUACGGGAAGCAAACUGGCUGUAAUUGGGCUUGGAACAGGCUCACUAGUAUGAGGUAGAGAUGCACCCAAUGUGGCAGCAGAAAAAGCUAAGAGAGUACUCCAAUAAAAUGAAAAUUCAAGUAUGUGCAUGGUCUCCUCUCGGAGCUCCAAACAGUCCAUGGGGAUCCAACAUGGUGAUGGACAGCCCUGUGAUUAAGGAAAAUGCUCAAAAGCAUGGAAAAUCUAUAGCACAGGUUGUGUUGAGGUGGGAAAUAGAGCAGGGAGUGUGUGUGAUCCCCAAGAGCUGUAAUAAAGGGAGGAUAACAGAAAAUUUUCAGGUUUUUGACUGGUGUUUGACUGGUGUUUGACUGCAGAAGACCAUGAGAAAAUGUGCAAGCUUGAGCAGAGGACUUGUAAACUCAACAACUAGCCCUUACAAAACCAUUGAAGAACUAUGGGAUUGAGAGAUCUAAUGGCAGACCAUGAGUUUAUUGCAACUUUAUAAUAUCUCAUCCAGGUCUAUUUCUGCUUUCAUCUUCUGUUUAGUUAAGUAAAUAAAUUGAGCCAGUGGUUAAAUAAUCUGCAUUGGUUGCUCGAUAUCAUCAGUCCCAUCACCAACAAAAUCUUAUUUAAAAAUGAAAAAACAGACCACUUGAUGCGAUUCCUUCCUUAGGCUGUUUAUAUC